rnacentral:rRNA from 1 species
UACGUAGGGACCAAGCGUUGUUCGGAUUUACUGGGCGUAAAGGGCGCGUAGGCGGCGUGACAAGUCACUUGUGAAAUCUCCGGGCGUUAACUCGGAACGGCCAAGUGAAACUGUCAAGCUAGAGUGCAGAAGGGGCAAUCGGAAUUCUUGGUGUAGCGGUGAAAUGCGUAGAUAUCUGGAGACACCGGUGGCGAAGGCGGCAUCCUGGACCGACACUGACGCUGAGGAGCGAAAGCCAGGGGAAGCAAAGCGGGGAUUAAGAUG